GUGCUUGCUUCAGCAGCACAUAUACUAAAAUUGGAAUGAUACAGAGAAGAUUAGCAUGGCCUUUGCACAAGCAUAACACAGACAUUUUUGAAGUAGUCCAUAUUUUU
ensembl:snRNA U6 U6 spliceosomal RNA